rnacentral:misc_RNA from 1 species
AACGCACAUUGCGCCCCUUGGUAUUCCGAGGGGCAUGCCUGUUCGAGCGUCAUUUCACCACUCUAGCCUAGCUGGGUCUUGGGAUUCGCGAUUUCGCGGUCCUUAAAAUCAGUGGCGGUGCCUGUAGGCUCUGAGCGUAGUAAUUUUCUCGCUAUAGUCCCCUACAGGUUACUUGCCAGUAACCCCAAAUUUUUCAGGUUGACCUCGGAUCAGGUAGGGAUACCCGCUGAACUUAA